GAGAUACUAGUAAAAAUACAAUUACACUGCCUUGUCAAGGCAGAGUCGUGGGUUAAACCCCCGCGUAUCUUA
rnacentral:tRNA from 1 species